rnacentral:tRNA from 1 species
GAGAGGUGGCAGAGCGGUCGAAUGCGGCGGUCUUGAAAACCGUUGACGGGUAAUCCUCGUCCGGGGGUUCGAAUCCCUCCCUCUCC